rnacentral:misc_RNA from 1 species
UUUCCGUAGGUGAACCUGCGGAAGGAUCAUUAACGAGUUAGGGUCUUCUAGGCCCGACCUCCCAACCCUUUGUUUACUGAACCAUUGUUGCCUCGGUGGGUCCGUCUUACGACCGCCGGGGGAUCGCCGCGAGGCGCCCCCUGGCCAGCGCCCACCGAUAGCCCAACCUUUAAAACCCUUUGUGAAUCGUGUCUUAUGUCUAAAUUUAUGAUUAAACAAUCAUAACAAAACUUUCAACAACGGAUCUCUUGGUUCUG